UACGGAGGGUGCAAGCGUUGUUCGGAAUUACUGGGCGUAAAGGGCGCGUAGGCGGCCUAUUAAGUCAGAUGUGAAAGCCCACGGCUCAACCGUGGAAGUGCAUUUGAAACUGGUAGGCUUGGGUAUCAGAGGGGAAAGUGGAAUUCCCGGUGUAGAGGUGAAAUUCGUAGAUAUCGGGAGGAAUACCGGUGGCGAAGGUGACUUUCUGGCUGAAUACUGACGCUGAGGCGCGAAAGCGUGGGGAGCAAACAGG
rnacentral:misc_RNA from 1 species